CUCUUCUUUCACUUGGUUCCAUUUUAAGUUUGAACUUUUUUAAAAAAUCUUUAUUCUAAAUUUGUUACUUUAGAUCCUUAAUUUUAGGAUUAGUUAUGGUUUAUUUUUAUACCUUAUAAUGAAUUGAGAUGUGGACAAUCUCCCUUUUUGUCCCUUCCCCUUCGAAUCUCUUUUCGUCUUCAUUGUUCUCAUCGUUUCAUCGUUUCAUUGUUCUCAUCUUUUCUUGCGUUCUAAUCUCAUCCUUCUUGAAAAUUGCAACUUCCCCUUGGACCCUCUUUGGUCUUCAUCGUUUUCAUCGUCUCAUUGUUCUCAUCCUUUCUUGCGUUCUCAUCUCAUCCUUCUUGAAAAUUGCCUAUUAAGAAGUAAAAAUCGAAGCCAAGCAAGUAAAAAUCGAUAAGAGGGGGAGGAAGAUCGAAAGAAAAAGAACUGGAGAAAUCAAUACAGGAACCCCCAGUCUGAUGUCAAUGAGCACCAAUGAAAAGAGCAUUUAGACUUGAUGGGUUUGAUGUCAAUGGUUCUUGGGUAAUCCCUAAUGCUAUAUAAGAGCUGAGGUAUUUAUAUAUCACGGCAUAUUGGGUUAUGAGAUAGAAUUUUCAAAUCUUUGAUGACAACGACAAUGCAGAGAUAGUUGUUUUGGGAUUUUGAUUGUUUAAUUUGACUUUUGCAUAGGUGGUCUUCCGUUGCUUUGGAUAGAGCGGUUUGGUUGGUGUUUUCAGUUCUGUUAAGGGGUUUUCCCCACAGGCUCGGAAUUGGCUCAAGACAUGUGUCAACACGAAUUGAACAGCUGAGAAAAGGAAGAAUGCUUUUAGCAAUGGAAAGGGACUGGUUUCAUGAAGAUACAAGUGAUCCUCAUACCAGUAAUGCUAACUAAGGUUGUUUCAUGGCUAGAAACAGACUAAUCUCUAAGUGAGGCAAUCUAAUAAUAGAUUACGUUUAUGAGACGCGUGGCAUUGCAAAUCAACUCGGCGAGAAUCAACCUUCACUUUGUUAGUGUCUGUUAGCUUGUGUGUGGAAAACAAUAAAUGUUGGAAGUGUGAAAGUAGGAAAUAUUAACUUGACUUGUGGAGACUUUGGAGGCUGCUGCUGUUAGCUAGACCAGCUGUGGGUGUUAGCUAAUAGGCUACUAUUUUGUAGUUAUUAACAUUAAUAAGGUUGGCCGCUCUUGGGUGGCUGUAGGGUCUGUAGGUUUGCUGUGGGGUUGCUAUAGGUUGGCUGAUGUAUAGAUUCUUGUAAUUAAUGUAAAGCUUGAAUAGCAAGUCUUCUCCUUAUAUAUAUAUCAUGUAUUACAAAACAAUCAAUGAAAACUGAAUACAAGUUGAAA